GAUGAAGAACGUAGCAAAUGCGAUAAGUAAUGUGAAUUGCAGAAUUCAGUGAAUCAUAGAAUCUUUGAACGCACCUUGCACCCUUUGGCAUUCCGAAGGGUAUGCUCGUUUGAGUGUCAUUGUACUCUCACUCUCCCGAUACUUUUGGAUCGGGAGUGGUGGACUUGGGUGCUGCUGCUUAACUGUGGCUCGCCUUAAAUGAAGUAGUGCAACUCUCGGUUGGACAUAGUACGGCGUGAUAAGUGUCUUCGCCGGCGCCUCAUUCGAGGGUGGCCGAUCGGGAGCUCUGUGCUUCAAACUGUCUUCGGACAACAUCUGACAACUUGACCUCAAAUCGAGUAGGACUACCCGCUGAACUUAAGCAUAUCAAUAAGCGGAGGA
rnacentral:misc_RNA from 1 species